AGACUCCUGACACUUAGCAACAAUCCUGUCCUUACAGAAAGGUGAUCAUGUACCUGAUAGUACUUUUUGAGGAAGAAAACAAAACUGGCCCGGUGGCAAAGGAGUGGUUUUCAGAUGGCCUCGCUUGGUGGCCUCCAUACAGUGACCAGUGCCAGAUUCUCAGAAGUGUCCAAAAAAGGUGGUCCCCAAUCCAUCAAAGGGCUGGAGAAAAUUUGCCGCACGUGUGCUCUACGAAUCAGAUUCAAUUAACAAAAUACAAGAAAAGUGGGAAGGGUCAUGUGUAACAUCAGACCUAAACACAGUAAAAGAACAUGACGUUACAACUGUACGACAAUGAAGGAA